rnacentral:rRNA from 1 species
AGGUAAGCUACUAAGAGCGAAUGGUGGAUGCCUUGACUGGUAAAGGCGAUGAAGGACGUACUAGACUGCGAUAAGCUACGGGGAGCUGUCAAGAAGCUUUGAUCCGUAGAUUUCCGAAUGGGGCAACCCAAUGUAUAGAGAUAUACAUUACCUAUAUAGGAGCGAACGAGGGGAAUUGAAACAUCUUAGUACCCUCAGGAAAAGAAAUCAAUAGAGAUUGCGUCAGUAGCGGCGAGCGAAAGCGCAAGAGGGCAAACCCAGUGCUUGCACUGGGGGUUGUAGGACUGCAAUGUGCAAGAGGUGAGUUUAGCAGAACAUUCUGGAAAGUAUAGCCAUAGAGGGUGAUAGUCCCGUAUGCGAAAAACAAACCUUAGCUAGCAGUAUCCUGAGUAGGGCGGGACACGAGAAAUCCUGUCUGAAGCUGGGUCGACCACGAUCCAACCCUAAAUACUAAUACCAGAUCGAUAGUGCACAAGUACCGUGAGGGAAAGGUGAAAAGAACUGAGGUGAUCAGAGUGAAAUAGAACCUGAAACCAUUUGCUUACAAUCAUUCAGAGCCCUAUGUAGCAAUACAGGGUGAUGGACUGCCUUUUGCAUAAUGAGCCUGCGAGUUGUGGUGUCUGGCAAGGUUAAGCAAACGCGAAGCCGUAGCGAAAGCGAGUCUGAAUAGGGCGCUUAGUCAGAUGCUGCAGACCCGAAACGAAGUGAUCUAUCCAUGAGCAAGUUGAAGCUAGUGUAAGAACUAGUGGAGGACUGAACCCAUAGGCGUUGAAAAGCCCCGGGAUGACUUGUGGAUAGGGGUGAAAGGCCAAUCAAACUUCGUGAUAGCUGGUUCUCUCCGAAAUAUAUUUAGGUAUAGCGUUGUGUCGUAAUAUAAGGGGGUAGAGCACUGAAUGGGCUAGGGCAUACACCAAUGUACCAAACCCUAUCAAACUCCGAAUACCUUAUAUGUAAUCACAGCAGUCAGGCGGCGAGUGAUAAAAUCCGUCGUCAAGAGGGAAACAACCCAGACUACCAGCUAAGGUCCCUAAAUCUUACUUAAGUGGAAAACGAUGUGAAGUUACUUAAACAACCAGGAGGUUGGCUUAGAAGCAGCCAUCCUUUAAAGAAAGCGUAAUAGCUCACUGGUCUAGUGAUUUUGCGCGGAAAAUAUAACGGGGCUAAAGUAAGUACCGAAGCUGUAGACUUGCGCACAACUUAGAUUAUUUAAGUUUAGAAUAUGAGAAACUAAGUUAUAUGUUUAGUUAUAUUUUUACUGAUUUUUAUAGAGUAAAGAUAGAAAUAAAACUUAGUAAAAUCAGUAAAAAUAUUCUUAGACUAAAGUUAAGUAGUUUAAGUUGUGUGCAAGUGGUAGGAGAGCGUUCUAUUUGCGUCGAAGGUAUACCGGUAAGGAGUGCUGGAGCGAAUAGAAGUGAGCAUGCAGGCAUGAGUAGCGAUAAUUAAUGUGAGAAUCAUUAACGCCGUAAACCCAAGGUUUCCUACGCGAUGCUCGUCAUCGUAGGGUUAGUCGGGUCCUAAGUCGAGUCCGAAAGGGGUAGACGAUGGCAAAUUGGUUAAUAUUCCAAUACCAACAUUAGUGUGCGAUGGAAGGACGCUUAGGGCUAAGGGGGCUAGCGGAUGGAAGUGCUAGUCUAAGGUCGUAGGAGGUUGUACAGGCAAAUCCGUAUAACAAUACUCCGAGAACUGAAAGGCUUUUUGAAGUCUUCGGAUGGAUAGAAGAACCCCUGAUGCCGUCGAGCCAAGAAAAGUUUCUAAGUUUAGCUAAUGUUGCCCGUACCGUAAACCGACACAGGUGGGUGGGAUGAGUAUUCUAAGGCGCGUGGAAGAACUCUCUUUAAGGAACUCUGCAAAAUAGCACCGUA